UUUCCGUAGGUGAACCUGCGGAAGGAUCAUUCAUAAUAAGUGUUUUAUGGCACUUUUUUAAAUCCAUAUCCACCUUGUGUGCAAUGUCAGGGUUGACUUUUCUCCCGGGAGGAUCAGCCCCAAACAUCAACUAUAUCUCAACUCUUUGUCUGAAAAAUAUUAUGAAUAAAACAAUUCAAAAUACAACUUUCAACAACGGAUCUCUUGGCUCUU
rnacentral:misc_RNA from 1 species